AGCUGGAGCGUCUCGCGCUCCGAGAUUGAGGUUAUGAACGCCUCGGCAGCGGACUGAACUGCGGAGCGAGCGGGGCUGCGCGAAGCGCAAGCGACGUGAAGGUUGGCGCGGAUCGCUCGAGUGCAGAGUGAAGUCCGCAGGUGAGAACCUCACGGGGUGAAAACGAAUGUUGCGAACGUGGCCGUUGAUGGAACGGAAAAUACCGCUAACAGGACCGACUGUCACUCACUCCCGCUCGAUAGGAAUACAAACACGGUGCUCUAAAAAUAACGACGCGUGUCGAACGGAGAGGGAACGAAUGUGAAAGAAAGAGAGAGAGAGGGCGCGUUUACCUCCUGAUGGUUCCCCUUUUGUGGCACGUAUUAGGAAGGCGAUGUGUUCGAAGGAAAUCGACGAACAAACAGCCGGGGCGACCACGGCCCUUUUAAGGCUGUCCCCCUCCCCCAGUCACAAUUUCAUGAUUUCCCGUGAGUGACGUAUUGGAAGGAGAGGCUUUAUCGCCGCGCAGACAGAAAGGCAGGCGAGCGGUGGCGGGCGGUGCAUCCAGUAAUGUAUGAAGAUAGCUGCCGAUCACAGACAGUAGAGCAACGACGCGGGAAAAAAACGGGAAUCCUCUGCGAGAUAAAAAUUUCGUCCCGAGAGAGAAACGACCUGAGUACACAUCGGAAAGAGCACACGGAAAUUUAAUCCGUUCAGUAAAAGCCCUCUGCGACGAAAGAUCAACGGCGGGACGAUGAGAGACGUCGGGACGCCGGGCGUCGUCGUUGCGACGCGACGCGGCGACGCGUUCUCCACACUCAAGAUGGUCCAGCUCACUCACGAACGGUUCACGUAAUCCUCUCAUCCCCGGCUAUUUCGAACUGGGCAAUAAUCAGCAGUGGCCGCGUUGGUUCCUUUUACGAUGCCGAGAUCUCAACAACAUGACGUCAAACAAUCAAAGAAAAAAAGGAAAGAACGAUAAAAAAAGAAACAUAACAGAAGUGUGAUCGGACAUAAAGGCGAUGCCGGUUCUUGUUCGAGAUCGAAUUUGUGCAUCUCCUCGAGCGACCGGAUGACGUGAUCUAAGGGACAGCUUCUUGCAUCGAUCUCAACGAAAAUUGCAAAUAAAGUUCGAAAAUUAGGCCAAAGGGCGAGAUCGGCCGUUAGCAGAGUAAAUUUAAUCAAUCUCACGCGGAUCUUCGCACGUCACGACGUCGUUUGCCAGGCUCGUUUCGGAUAAUGAUCAAGCACAGUCAUGUCCUUACGUUUCCCCGUUCAUCCUACAAAACGUAUUCAGGAAGAAACAAUUUCAUUGGAUCUGCUCUUUCUUUUUUUCUCCGUUUCUCUCUUCUCUCGGAACGGUGAUUGCUCCCGUAAUGAUACAAGCUCUUCGUGGAAAUAGGAGAAUUUUAUCAUAGCGAUAAGGAAAAAAGAAGAAAGCGUAAAGGCGGGAAAGACUGUACGUAAGACAAAGAAAGAAUCGAGAUAAAAUUGCAUUAUCCCUCCUAUUCUUCUUCCUCUCGUUCUCUCUUCUACACGUCACGAUCACUCAAGAGAUAUUUCGGCUAUGUCUGCUGACGUCAGAU